rnacentral:rRNA from 1 species
GACGGAGGGUGCGAGCGUUAUUCGGAUUUAUUGGGCGUAAAGGGUGUGUAGGCGGUCAGCCAAGUCUGAUGUGAAAGCCCGGGGCUUAACCUCGGAAGGGCGUUGGAAACUGGUUGACUUGAGUUCGGGAGAGGGAAGCGGAAUUCCGGGUGUAGAGGUGAAAUUCGUAGAUAUCCGGAGGAACACCGGUGGCGAAGGCGGCUUCCUGGACCGAAACUGACGCUGAGACACGAAAGCGUGGGGAGCAAACAGG